UACGUAGGUGGCAAGCGUUGUCCGGAUUUACUGGGCGUAAAGAGCGCGCAGGCGGUCGUCCAAGUCGCGUGUGAAAGCCCCCGGCUUAACUGGGGAGGGUCAUUCGAUACUGCUCGGCUCGAAGACAGGAGAGGGAAGCGGAAUUCCCGGUGUAGUGGUGAAAUGCGUAGAUAUCGGGAGGAACACCAGUGGCGAAGGCGGCUCACUGGCCCGAUACUGACGCUGAGGCACGAAAGCGUGGGGAGCAAACAGG
rnacentral:rRNA from 1 species